rnacentral:rRNA from 1 species
CCCUUAGAUGUUCUGGGCCGCACGCGCGCUACACUGACGAAUGCAACGAGCUUAUAACCUUGGCCGAAAGGUCUGGGUAAUCUCCAAAUUUCGUCGUGAUGGGGAUAGAUUACUGCAAUUAUUAAUCUUCAACGAGGAAUGCCUAGUAAGCGCAAGUCAUCAGCUUGCGUUGAUUACGUCCCUGCCCUUUGUACACACCGCCCGUCGCUCCUACCGAUUGAAUGGUCCGGUGAAGCGUUCGGACCGUGGCCUUUGGACGGUUCGCCGUCUGUUGGCUGCGGGAAGUUCGUUAAACCUUAUCAUUUAGAGGAAGGAGAAGUCGUANCA